rnacentral:lncRNA from 1 species
AUGAUCCGAUGCUCUGUUCGGAAUACUGACUGUAGGACGGUCCCAGGGGCCGAACGUGGACGGCGAGCGAGGAUGGGCAAGACUGGACCGAGAGGAUGCCCUGUCGGUCGGGGGGGGGGGGGCAGGAACGAACCCAAACACGGGACAGGAGCUUGUCCGAAGCCAAAUGUGGAAAAUUCCAGAACCCGAGCAGGUCCUCAGCCGGAAGACAAAGCAGGAGGCUCAGGAAGGACAAUCCUGAGGACUCAGGGAGGACAGUCCAGGCGGCAAGACAGGGACCGUCUGAGAGGACAGUUCCGGGGGCCAGAGCUCUGCGAACGUGGGAGGAAGUCCAGGCUCCUUUCGGAAAGUGGACCCAACACUCCAGCACCUGUGCCGCAGGCGUGGAGUCCAUUCUCACCGGACCCUGAGACCCACCUUUGGGAAACAUUGGAACAGGCCAAUGGCGGUAUCGACGUCCUUUGAGGAGACUCUGACAUGAUGCAAGCGCAGCGGCACGUCCCGCAGGCAGCCUCUGCAACUGGCGGGAUGAAAGAGAUGAGCGCGUCCUCCUACACCCCCUUCCCGCUUCCCGCUCGGCUCGGCUCGGCUCGGCACGCAACCCGCCUGCAACGCGACCGCAGACACAAAUCAAAGGAGACCAGAGAGGAGCGCGGCGUCACGAAGCCAAGGAGGAAAGGCGUCUUUGCUGUCAACAAGGGGCCCUUCUGCGAGACGCCCCCCCUGGGGAGACACAGGCAGAGAGGAGAGAGUAGAGAGUGAGGUGAUCAGUUCUUUUUCUUCUUCUUCUUCUUCUUAUUAUUAUUAUUUUUUGGGUUCUAUGGCAGCACCUGUAAUCACAGCUGUUGAUGAUGCUGUAUGAGAAGUGCGCUGUGUGACGAUGAUUGGUGAUGAUGCUGUAUGAUGAGUAUUCUGUAUUAUGAUGAUGCUCAAUGAUGAUGUUUAGUCUUCGGUCUUGUUCUGUUUCAUCCCCUAGCAGCACUGAGCUGUCGGCCGUGACCCCACACCACACCGGUGUUUUCUAUCGCUGGGACACCGUUAAAAAUGAACACAGUGUUACUGCAGUAACCACUGACAAGCGAACCCAAAUCAUAGCGACACUCAUUUACAUACACCAUGCUUUACUGUGCUUCGCCGUGGUCGGAGCAUCACAGAGGGGGGUGACGUGAAAAAUACCCAGAACCACCGAUGACAGUAAAACAGUGUUAAUGCCGCCGUUGGGCAUCGGCGCGUUUCCUCUCUGUCCCGCAGCAGUGCAUUGUGGGAUUGCGGUGUAUGUGAUCUCUAGGACGGAUCUGCGUCAGCCCCCCCCGACUCCACUGUUCUCUGGAACAAUGAGGAAUUGAUGGUGGUGAGAAACGGCUCUUUGUCCGAUAGCAUCGCCUAGCGACGCCCCUCUGUGUCCCGCUCUCGAACCGGCGGCCGGAAUUCCACCUUCAAAGAGCAGCAGGAAGCGUGUGGCCCC